AUGAGAGGAGGGGGCAAAUUAUCCCUCCAAAACGCAGAGGAACAAUGGAAAUCUGCCGGUCCAGAAACUGGAAAAACAAAGAGAGACACCUACACUCAUGACAUGAUUAAUGCAGAGAUUCAGUGGCAGAUGAAUAAGAGUCUCCGUCAGACUUCUGCAGCAGCCGGGCCGUUGGCGAGCGGGAGCCGGUCCAGCCGUCCAUCUUGUGUGGAAAAUUUCGGACUGGGCACGAGCCGGCCAUCUGCAGCUCCAGGCCUUCAGCAGCCAGCAGCCAAACGCAGCUACUGGAGGGAGGACGAGGGAAUCAGCAGCAGAAAUGUUUCUGUUUCAUCUUGGAAGGAAAAGCUUCGACAUCAGCAGCUUCAAAGUCGACAUUUACGAUCGGAAUACUGUAAUCUGAGAAGUAACUAA
rnacentral:lncRNA from 1 species